UGGGGAAUCUUGCACAAUGGGGGAAACCCUGAUGCAGCGACGCCGCGUGAGCGAUGAAGCCCUUCGGGGUGUAAAGCUCUUUCGACGGGAACGAUAAUGACGGUACCCGAAGAAGAAGCUGCGGCUAACUACGUGCCAGCAGCCGCGGUAAUACGUAGGCAGCAAGCGUUGUUCGGAAUUACUGGGCGUAAAGAGUGUGUAGGCGGUGCUCUAAGUUUGGUGUGAAAUCUCCCGGCUUAACUGGGAGGGUGCGCCGAAAACUGGAGUGCUCGAGUAUGGGAGAGGUAAGCGGAAUUCCUGGUGUAGCGGUGAAAUGCGUAGAUAUCAGGAGGAACACCCGUGGUGUAGACAGCUUACUGGACCAUCACUGACGCUGAGACACGAAAGCGUGGGUAGCAAACAGG
rnacentral:rRNA from 1 species